UACGGAGGAUGCGAGCGUUAUCCGGAUUUAUUGGGUUUAAAGGGUGCGUAGGCGGUCCGUUAAGUCAGCGGUAAAAUUGCGGGGCUCAACCCCGUCGAGCCGUUGAAACUGGCAGACUUGAGUUGGCGAGAAGUACGCGGAAUGCGCGGUGUAGCGGUGAAAUGCAUAGAUAUCACGCAGAACCCCGAUUGCGAAGGCAGCCUUCCGGCGCCCUACUGACGCUGAGGCACGAAAGUGCGGGGAUCGAACAGG
rnacentral:rRNA from 1 species